rnacentral:misc_RNA from 1 species
UCCCCGUUACCGAGGCAGUCUGAUUAGAAAAAUACAACUAAUCACGAGGGUUGCGCUCGUUGAAGGACUUAACCUAACAUCUCACGACACGAGCUGACGACGGCCAUGCAUCACCUGUCACUUGGUUCCUAAAAGGCACUCCUCUAUUUCUAGAGGAUUCCAAGGAUGUCAAGCCCAGGUAAGGUUCUUCGCGUAGCCUCGAAUUAAACCACACGCUCCACCGCUUGUGCGGGUCCCCGUCAAUUCCUUUGAGUUUUAGCCUUGCGGCCGUACUCCCCAGGCGGGAUGCUUAACGCGUUAGCUUCGCUACUCAAAAGGGUCGAUACUCUCGAGCAGCUAGCAUCCAUCGUUUACGGCGUGGACUAC